CUGGAAGACCAGAUUUACUUACCAAAAAGUCAUUCAGAAAGACAAUUGCUUCCAUUUUGGGAUCUUUCAUCAUGCUAGUUGUUUCUUUUCUGAAAAUGCAUAAAUGUCAGAAAAUGUUACGUUGAUUAAAGGCAACAGAUACAAAAUUCUAAACAACUGCAAAUGGGCAGCGGGGGACAAAGGAAUUGAUGAGGAAGUGACAGCAUUAAGUUACUUGAGAUGGGGGC